rnacentral:rRNA from 1 species
UACGUAGGGAGCAAGCGUUGUCCGGAAUCAUUGGGCGUAAAGCGCGCGUAGGCGGCCCUGUAAGUCCGUUGUGAAAGUCAAAGGCUCAACCUUUGAAAGCCGAUGGAUACUGCAGGGCUAGAGUCCGGAAGAGGCGAAGUGGAAUUCCUGGUGUAGCGGUGGAAUGCGCAGAUAUCAGGAGGAACACCAAUAGCGAAGGCAGCUCGCUGGGACGGUACUGACGCUAAGGCGCAAAGCGUGGGGAGCGAACGA